UGAGGUGUAGCUGAGUCGGCACAGCAACUGCCUGUUAAGCAGUAGAUCAUUGGUUCAAAUCCAAUCACCUCAGCCA
rnacentral:tRNA from 1 species